UACGGAGGGGGCUAGCGUUGUUCGGAAUCACUGGGCGUAAAGGGUGCGUAGGCGGUCGGGUAAGUCUGAUGUGAAAUCUCACAGCUUAACUGUGAAACUGCAUUGGAUACUAUCCGGCUAGAGGAAUGGAGGGGAGACUGGAAUACUUGGUGUAGCAGUGAAAUGCGUAGAUAUCAAGUGGAACACCAGUGGCGAAGGCGAGUCUCUGGACAAUUCCUGACGCUGAGGCACGAAAGCCAGGGGAGCAAACGGG
rnacentral:rRNA from 1 species